ensembl:snRNA U2 U2 spliceosomal RNA
AUCGCUUCUCGGCCUUUUGGCUAAGAUCAAGUGUAGUAUCUGUUCUUAUCAGUUUAAAGAGAAGGUCUCUUGUUGCCUUUUUGACCUGAUUUUUUGUACUUUCUCGGGGUUUUACUUCCUGGCUCUAUGUGUGGCAGACAGGAAGAGGAAGGAAGGAGCCUGCUAUAG